rnacentral:rRNA from 1 species
GCUUCCCUCUUUCUUCGUGCCUAAUACAUGCAAGUCGAGCGAACGGACGAUAAGCUUUCUUCUCUGAUGUUAGCGGCUGACGGGUGAGUAACACGUGGAUAACCUACCUAUAAGACUGGGAUAACUUCGUGAAACCGGAGCUAAUACCGGAUAAUAUUUUGAACCGCAUGGUUCAAAAGUUAAAGACGGUCUUGCUGUCACUUAUAGAUGGUUCCGCGCUGCAUUAGCUAGUUGGUAAGGUAACGGCUUACCAAGGCAACGAUGCAUAGCCGACCUGAGAGGGUGAUCGGCCACACUGGAACUGAGACACGGUCCAGACUCCUACGGGAGGCAGCAGUAGGGAAUCUUACGCAAUGGGCGAAAGCCUGACGGAGCAACGCCGCGUGAGUGAUGAAGGUCUUCGGAUCGUAAAACUCUGUUAUUAGGGAAGAACAUAUGUGUGAGUAACUGUGCACAUCUUGACGGUACCUAAUCAGAAAGCCACGGCUAACUACGUG